CGGGGCAACCUGGCGGCGAGUGGCGAACGGGUGAGUAAUAUAUCGGAACGUACCCUGGAGUGGGGGAUAACGUAGCGAAAGUUACGCUAAUACCGCAUACGAUCUAAGGAUGAAAGUGGGGGAUUCGCAAGAACCUCAUGCUCCUGGAGCGGCCGAUAUCUGAUUAGCUAGUUGGUGGGGUAAAGGCCUACCAAGGCAUCGAUCAGUAGCUGGUCUGAGAGGACGACCAGCCACACUGGAACUGAGACACGGUCCAGACUCCUACGGGAGGCAGCAGUGGGGAAUUUUGGACAAUGGGCGCAAGCCUGAUCCAGCAAUGCCGCGUGAGUGAAGAAGGCCUUCGGGUUGUAAAGCUCUUUUGUCAGGGAAGAAACGGUGAGAGCUAAUAUCUUUUGCUAAUGACGGUACCUGAAGAAUAAGCACCGGCUAACUACGUGCCAGCAGCCGCGGUAAUACGUAGGGUGCAAGCGUUAAUCGGAAUUACUGGGCGUAAAGCGUGCGCAGGCGGUUUUGUAAGUCUGUCGUGAAAUCCCCGGGCUCAACCUGGGAAUUGCGAUGGAGACUGCAAGGCUAGAAUCUGGCAGAGGGGGGUAGAAUUCCACGUGUAGCAGUGAAAUGCGUAGAGAUGUGGAGGAACACCGAUGGCGAAGGCAGCCCCCUGGGUCAAGAUUGACGCUCAUGCACGAAAGCGUGGGGAGCAAACAGGAUUAGAUACCCUGGUAGUCCACGCCCUAAACGAUGUCUACUAGUUGUCGGGUUUUAAUUAACUUGGUAACGCAGCUAACGCGUGAAGUAGACCGCCUGGGGAGUACGGUCGCAAGAUUAAAACUCAAAGGAAUUGACGGGGACCCGCACAAGCGGUGGAUGAUGUGGAUUAAUUCGAUGCAGCGCGAAAAACCUUACCUACCCUUGACAUGUACGGAAGCCACGAGAGAUCGAGGCGUGCUCGAAAGAGAGCCGUAACACAGGUGCUGCAUGGCUGUCGUCAGCUCG
rnacentral:rRNA from 1 species